rnacentral:rRNA from 1 species
ACUCCUACGGGAGGCAGCAGUGGGGAAUAUUGCACAAUGGGGGAAACCCUGAUGCAGCCAUGCCGCGUGUGUGAAGAAGGCCUUCGGGUUGUAAAGCACUUUCAGUAGGGAGGAAGGUAGUGUAGUUAACACCUGCAUUAUUUGACGUUACCUACAGAAGAAGCACCGGCUAACUCCGUGCCAGCAGCCGCGGUAAUACGGAGGGUGCGAGCGUUAAUCGGAAUUACUGGGCGUAAAGCGCAUGCAGGCGGCCUGUUAAGUCAGAUGUGAAAGCCCGGGGCUUAACCUCGGAAUUGCAUUUGAAACUGGCAGGCUAGAGUCUUGUAGAGGGGUUAGAAUUUCAGGUGUAGCGGUGAAAUGCGUAGAGAUCUGAAGGAAUACCAGUGGCGAAGCGGCCCCUGGACAAAGACUGACGCUCAGAUGCGAAAGCGUGGGAGCAAACAGGAUUAGAUACCCCUGGUAGACUGUCA